AUUGAACGCUGGCGGCAUGCCUUACACAUGCAAGUCGAACGGCAGGCACGGACUUCGGUCUGGUGGCGAGUGGCGAACGGGUGAGUAAUGUAUCGGAACGUACCUUUCAGUGGGGGAUAACGUAGCGAAAGUUACGCUAAUACCGCAUAUUCUGUGAGCAGGAAAGCAGGGGAUCGCAAGACCUUGCGCUGAUUGAGCGGCCGAUAUCAGAUUAGCUAGUUGGUGGGGUAAAGGCCUACCAAGGCUACGAUCUGUAGCGGGUCUGAGAGGAUGAUCCGCCACACUGGAACUGAGACACGGUCCAGACUCCUACGGGAGGCAGCAGUGGGGAAUUUUGGACAAUGGGGGCAACCCUGAUCCAGCCAUGCCGCGUGAGUGAAGAAGGCCUUCGGGUUGUAAAGCUCUUUCGGCCGGGAAGAAAUCGCAUAGGCUAAUACCCUGUGUGGAUGACGGUACCGGAAUAAGAAGCACCGGCUAACUACGUG
rnacentral:rRNA from 1 species